AGUACGUGAUAAAAAAUUUCGUGAAGUACAGAAAGAAAAAGCGAGAAUAUAGAUCCAAGUAAGCCCAACAAUAAACAGUCAGAUUAAAAUCAUCAAGCAUAUAGUUCACAUUCACUCCUCCGUUUGAUCGAAAAACUGAAGUAAACUAACCGAUUAAUAGGAACAGCAAGUGCGAGAAAAAGAAGACCAUAAUGGCAGAGACUGCAAACCACUUCAAUGAACGAUUCCAAACCUUUAUGAACGGCCUCGGCGACCGUUAUGAACCCUAUGUGCGUGAACACCUGUCAAAGGUUUACAUGGUCCUGGGUAGCACUGCCGCAGCGUCGGCCUUGGGAGCCAUGCUCCAGAUGCGCGACUUCCUCGAUCUUGGAGUCCUGGCGGCGAUAGCCACUUUGAUUCUGGUCCUAGGCCUGCACUUCUACAAGGAUGACGGCAAGAACUACUACACACGGUUGAGUAUGCUCUAUGCAUUUGGAUUCUGCUCUGGCCAGACCCUCGGACCGCUCCUCGGAUAUAUAAGCAGCAUUAAUCCAGCUAUUAUAGUGUCGGCUCUUACCGGUACUUUCGUUACCUUCGUCACCCUCUCCCUAGCCGCUUUGCUAGCGGAGCAGGGCAAGUACCUCUAUCUGGGCGGAAUGCUAGUCAGCGUCAUUAACACCAUGGCCUUGUUGAGUCUUUUUAACAUGGUCUUCAAGUCGUACUUUGUGCAAGUGACUCAACUAUACGUAGGCGUUUUCGUAAUGGCUGCCUUUAUCGUCUACGACACACAGAACAUUGUGGAAAAGUGCCGAAAUGGAAACCGAGAUGUGGUGCAGCAUGCUCUAGAUCUGUUCUUUGAUGUUCUUAGCAUGUUCCGCCGUUUGCUGAUCAUUCUUACGCAAAAGCUCAAGACCUUUAUGGUAUAACGCGUAUCGGCCGAAUUAUCUAUCUAGAUCAGAUAACCGCCAAACAGUUGCUGAUCACUUUGCAAAAGCUUUAAAUUCUGAAAUUCGGUGUGAAGAACCAUUUCAAACGGAGGAGCGAAAACAGAAUGAACGUCGUAAGAGGAACUAAGUCUAACUUUACUAAAUACCAACCACCAAAACAAAAACAACAAGACAAGGGAUACGAGGAGGUUGGCAGUUUUCUCUUUCUAAAAAUUUAUUCGCAGAGAAAUUCAAAUAUGCCGUGUACAUUUGGCUUUAAAUUUACAUACAAAUGUUCAAUAUAAAAACCUUGAAAAUUCCCCAUUUAAUAAAUACUACAAAAAGUCAAA